rnacentral:rRNA from 1 species
GAUGAACGCUAGCGGCAGGCUUAAUACAUGCAAGUCGAGGGGUAACAUGGGUAGCAAUACCUGAUGACGACCGGCAAACGGGUGCGGAACACGUACGCAACUUUCCCAUAACUGGUGAAUAGCCCUCCGAAAGGAGGAUUAAUACACCGUAACAUAACGAAGAGGCAUCUCUUUGUUAUUAUAGGCUUCGGCCGGUUUUGGAUGGGCGUGCGCCUGAUUAGGUAGUUGGCGGGGUAACGGCCCACCAAGCCUACGAUCAGUAACUGGUGUGAGAGCACGACCAGUCACACGGGCACUGAGACACGGGCCCGACUCCUACGGGAGGCAGCAGUAAGGAAUAUUGCUCAAUGGGGGAAACCCUGAAGCAGCAACGCCGCGUGAAGGAUGAAAUACUUUUGUAUGUAAACUUCUGUAAGAUGGGAAAAAUAUCUCGCUCGGUGAGAUUGAUUGUACCAUCAGAGUAAGCCCCGGCUAACUCCGUGCCAGCAGCCGCGAU